rnacentral:rRNA from 1 species
GGGCCCGCACAAGCGGUGGAGCAUGUGGUUUAAUUCGAUGAUACGCGAGGAACCUUACCAGGACUUAAAUGUAAGUUGCAUGAUUCAGAAAUGAAUCUUUCUUCGGACUACUUACAAGGUGCUGCAUGGUUGUCGUCAGCUCGUGCCGUGAGGUGUCAGGUUAAGUCCUAUAACGAGCGCAACCCCUAUCGUUAGUUGCCAUCAAGUAAAGUUGGGAACUCUAGCGAAACUGCCGGUGUAAACCGAGAGGAAGGUGGGGAUGACGUCAAAUCAUCACGGCCCUUACGUUCUGGGCUACACACGUGCUACAAUGGUCGGUACAGAAAGCAGCCACUAUGCGAAUAGGAGCUAAUCUCGAAAGUCUAUCUCAGUUCGGAUUGGAGUCUGCAACUCGACUCUAUGAAGCUGGAAUCGCUAGUAA